rnacentral:lncRNA from 1 species
CAUCUAUUUUGCUUGUUUGUUUUCUAGUGCAAAAUUGACUCUUCCCAGCAAAUAUAGCACAUCUCAAUAGCAAUGGCAUGUGCUUAUUUAAUUUCUAGAAGGCUUGCUUCAGUGAACCCCUCACUCCAGCCAUCCCUGCAGGAAAAGGAGACUUACGGCAAAGAACCUAUGAGAAUCCUCCAUACUUUAAGCUGUUUGAACUGGAGCCAACUCCUACUUCUCCAUCAACAUGCUCCCUUUGGUUGUUUCCCAUUGCUUAUAGAGAAGACUGGGGAGAGUGACACCAGUCAGCUUGAAAAUUCCAUGGCAUCUCUUGAUAUGACCAUCAGGGCUGGCUUCCUGUCUUUGUUUUCCAGAAGAUUUCCACAAUAGCACUGGCAAUCUCCACUCACAGCCAGGUUGCCACACCUGUGAUAAUUGAGGGUACCAGAACUGUGAUGGCAGCUGAAAUUGGAUUGCUCACACUAGAGAACAUUUGACUUUACCCAGAAGAGCUCUUUACCUUGGACUAUUAACUUUGCUUGUACAUCAUCAUAUAUAAAUAUGGAAUUAUAUAUAUGCAUGAAUAUUUACAAUAAGCAAUGCUAAUGUUAACAAUAAUACCAUUCUAUCACUACAAUUGCUUUACUUGUAUCUGAUUAUCUAAAUAUCACUAACCUGUUGAAGUUCUACUCUGAAGAACAUAUUCAGAAUGCUUUUUUCUAUGUGUCAACUCUUUCAACUAGUUUUGGAAAGACAAGAUAGGGCAGGACUGGGAGGGUACCCAUGCUGAUGUCAAUUGGGCUUAGCAUGGCUUCUUCGAAGCCGUGCUAAAAGGGGUAGUGUGGCAGUAUUGUGCAGAAGGAAGUGCUUAAUGGAGGAGCCACAUGUCCUGGAUAAGCCAGGAACUGCACAGCCUGUGUGCUACCUACAUGCCACGCAUGGGUGACGUCUUUGAAGUCCUUUCACACCUCAGAGGGCACAACAUGAUACUCAAAAAACCUGCCUAUUGUCUGUGGUAGACGAAAGUCCCAGACAUACAAUAAUUCCAGUGAAGAACACUGAAUUAAAGGACACAUGAUGGGGCCUCACUUCUAUGCCAUCUCUGUGGUAAAUGAGUUUAAAAAUGAAGUCAUUUUGGUGAGGAUGGAAGAGAUGUCAUUGGGACUACUACUGCUGACAGGAAGGUGAAUAGAAGAAGAUGGAGACCCUGUAUCCUGUUAGACCAUCAUGAAGCAAAUAGCUUCAUACAGAAGG